rnacentral:rRNA from 1 species
UACGAAGGGGGCUAGCGUUGCUCGGAAUGACUGGGCGUAAAGGGCGCGUAGGCGGUGUACACAGUCAGGCGUGAAAUUCCCGGGCUCAACCUGGGGGCUGCGCUUGAUACAUGUACGCUUGAGUUCGGAAGAGGGUCGUGGAAUUCCCAGUGUAGAGGUGAAAUUCGUAGAUAUUGGGAAGAACACCCGUGGCGAAAGCGGCUCUCUGGAACGGUACUGACGCUGAGACGCGAAAGCGUGGGGAGCGAACAGG